UGCAUAUCUCUGUUAUGGUAAUUUGUUAUUUCAUUUGUUUUUAAAUUUCACUUUUAUGUGACAUUAUGAGAAGAUUGUCAUUAUGAGAAGCGUCAUGUUGUAACCAAUAUGUUUGUUUUUACUUCAUCUACUUCUUCUCUGGUCCCUGCGUAAUUCCGUUGUGCAGGUUGUCGUAACUGUCGGUAUUGCUUUACAGGUUCUGCGUAUUAGUUCUCAAUGUUUCUGAAUUUCUAACAUGUACAAAUAAUAACGAGUUUCUGGUCUCAUUGUUGUUGCAGUAAGAUACUGGACAGGGUGGUUUCUAUGGAGUAUACUCUGAGGGAUGAUAGUGAGAGAGUUGAUUAAAGUUAUAGCAGUCCCAGAAGAGGAGGAGGUGGUAUCACAGGAGGUAACCCCUUUUCAUGGUGAUUUGAUUUUCUAUUUAAUGGUUAUUGAUGAGGAUUUCCUUGAAAUCUGUGGAAUGGAUGGUUCGUUUCCACCGGGUUUUAAAUGGGGAUCUAGAAUAGAGGUUCUCGAUUGGCUGACGUCGGUGUUAUCAAAGCAGCAUCUGCAGGGCAAUAGAAGUGCUUGCAGGUAAAAGGUUAUAGCUUAUCUCUGCAGUCACGCCGACAUCCCGGUAAAAGCUAGGCAUUACUUAAAAUCUACCUGACUAAUAUAAUCAUCUUAUCCAUAGCUUAUAUAUUUUAAGAAUUUAAGAAUGGGAAUUGAUCUUGGGAGUGAUCUCAAGAUGUUCGGUUUAAUUCCACAUUCAAGGAGUAAGUAAUGAUUGAAGUUUUAUGAUGUUUACUAAUUAUUUAUAAUGAACAUAAAUAGUAUUAUGGUUCCAUUUGUGUGACGAUGAUUGUUAGUAGCGACGGUCACGACAUCAUCAUCAUUGGAUACCGAAAUGGUAAAGAUGGCAAUAGCAGUAGGAGAGAGUUAUUGAGAUGCAGCUGAUGGCGUUGCAAUGACUGUUAUGUCGGCAUUCAAAAUAUUUUCCCCUAUUGAACGCGGUGCAUUGUGAGUUUCUCUAUGACCAACACUUGGCUCUAAGCAAAUUUACAUUCGCACUCACAUUCAUAAUUGCUGAAAGGUUGAAGAAAUGAUUGGUUAAUGAGCAUGUGAAACAAGCCAAAGGGUUAAAUUUUGGCAUAAAUGUGUUUAGAUAAUCCUAUGAUGUUUUUUUGUUAUUUAUGAUCAUUUGUAGAGUUUGUUAAUCUUCCAGAGCAUUUCUAUGCAGCUCUCAUUUCAAGAUUUUUGUGUACCUAUACAGCGAGGACCAAUUUAUAGUCUCAUUAGCGAAAGACAUCAAAAUUGUGAGAACUCUUCCGAUAUAGAGAAAGGGUGCAAGAAGAAAAAAGGAGAUUCUGGUGUUUAAAGUUUGGUAUUCAGCAUCACCUUUUUAAUACUUGCAUCAUGAUCUCUCUAUAUUAUAGAAGCAUUCAGUGGUUGAACUAGAAUUAGUGUCUUUAGUAUUUCUAACAAUUAGUGUUAGUUAUAUUUGUUAUGUAUUGUCGUGUUACAUUGAUGAUAAUGUUCGACUUUUCAUACUUAGUGUGGUCAUGCCAAGUCUUGAUUUUGUAGUAUGUGAAAUUUGUGUUGCGUGGGAAGUUUUUGUUGAUAACCUGGUGUUAUUUGUUUUAUGUAGUUGAUGAGAUGUUUCUGUAAAUUCUGAGUUGCGUGAGAGAUUAGUAGACAGGUAUGGUGGGUUGCUGCUAUGUGUUUCGUAUUGAAGAAGAGACACAUUAUCAUAUCACUGAUGAGCGUAAAGCAUUAUAUAAAGCUACUGAACAAUGUAAAAAAUGUCAAUAGAUGGUGUGUUGGAGAAGUAUUCAAUGAUGGUGUGUUGUUCUGGUUCAACUUCGAGGAAGGAUGUGUAUUUGUUUGAUUAAAUCUUAUUUUGCACUUGCGGUCCUUUUUCAAGGUGUAUUGGAUUUUCUUGCUUUGAAACG